GUGACCAAGCUGGAAAGGGCGUGCGGUGGAUGCCUAGGCGCCGAGAGGCGAUGAAGGACGUGGGUGGCUGCGAAAAGCCUCGGGGAGCCGCCAACCAGGCUUUGAUCCGGGGAUGUCCGAAUGGGGAAACCCGACGCGGGUAAUGCCGCGUCAUCCCAUGCUGAAUCCAUAGGCAUGGGAGGCGAACCCGGGGAAGUGAAACAUCUCAGUACCCGGAGGAAAAGAAAACAACCGUGAUUCCGUGAGUAGUGGCGAGCGAAAGCGGAAGAGGCCAAACCGCCGGACGGAAGUCCGGCGGGGUAGUGGGGCCGCGUACGGCACCGAAUUUCUGUAGCCGAACCCGUCUGGAAAGUCGGGCCACAGAGGGUGACAGCCCCGUAGGCGAAACGGGGAUUCGGGCCAGCGGGAACCCCAAGUAGGGCGGGACACGUGAAAUCCUGUCCGAAUCAGCCGGGACCAUCCGGUAAGCCUAAAUACUCCUCGGCGACCGAUAGUGAACGAGUACCGCGAGGGAAAGGUGAAAAGAACCCCGGCGAGGGGAGUUAAAAGAGCCUGAAACCGCACGUCUACAAGCAGUCCGAGCGCUAUGCCCGCAAGGGAAUGCGCGAGGGCGUACCUUUUGCAUCAUGAUCCGGCGAGUUGAUGUGCGUGGCGAGCUUAAGCCGUUAGGUGUAGGCGUAGCGAAAGCGAGUCCGAAAUGGGCGCAAAGUCGCGCGCAUCAUGACCCGAAGCCAGGUGAUCUACCCAUGGCCAGGGUGAAGCGCGGGUAAAACCGCGUGGAGGCCCGAACCCGUGGAGGUUGAAAACUUCUGGGAUGAGCUGUGGGUAGGGGUGAAAGGCCAAUCAAACCUGGUGAUAGCUGGUUCUCCCCGAAAGCUAUUUAGGUAGCGCCUCGAGGGUUCAGUCCUGGAGGUAGAGCACUGGAACGGCUAGGGGCCCUACCAGGUUACCAAACCGUACCAAACUCCGAAUGCCAGGAACUGUGACCUCGGGAGGCAGACGGUCGGUGAUAACGUCGAUCGUCGAGAGGGAAACAACCCAGACCGCCAGCUAAGGCCCCCAAUUCUGCACUAAGUGACGGAAAGGAAGUGGCAGGACCCAGACAACCAGGAGGUUGGCUUAGAAGCAGCCAUCCUUUAAAGAAAGCGUAAUAGCUCACUGGUCGAGUCAGGCCGCGCCGAAAAUGUACCGGGGCUCAAGUGCAGAGCCGAAGCUGCGGCUGCAAGCGCGAGCUUGCGGGGUAGGGGAGCGUCCCAGCGCCGUUGAAGCCGUACCGCAAGGAGCGGUGGAGGUUCUGGGAGUGCUGAUGCCGGAAUGAGUAGCGAUAAGACAGGUGAGAACCCUGUCCGCCGAAAGCCCAAGGUUUCCUGGGGAAGGUCGAUCCGCCCAGGGUUAGCCGGGACCUAAGCCGAGGCCGAAAGGCGUAGGCGAUGGACAGUGGGUUAAUAUUCCCACGCCGCCCGUCACGUGUUGAAGCGAGCGGGGACGGAGGAGGGUAGCCGGGCCAGGUG
rnacentral:rRNA from 1 species